GACGAACCGUACGAACGUUAUUCGGAAUCACUGGGCUUAAAGGGUGCGUAGGCUGCGCGGAAAGUUGGGUGUGAAAUCCCUCGGCUCAACCGAGGAACUGCGCCCAAAACUGCCGUGCUCGAGGGAGACAGAGGUGAGCGGAACUUAGGGUGGAGCGGUGAAAUGCGUUGAUAUCCUAAGGAACACCGGUGGCGAAGGCGGUUCUCUGGGCCUGUACUGACGCUGAGGAGCGAAAGCGUGGGGAGCGAACAGGAUUAGAACUACCGUGGUCAG
rnacentral:rRNA from 1 species